GUUUGGUUAUCUUUCUGUGCUGUGGAAGGUUUGUUCUUUCACUCUGCACUAUUUUGCAAUAAAUAUUGCUAUUGCUCACUUUGGGUUUAUAUUGCCUUUAUGAGCUGUAACACUCACCAUGAAGGUCUGCAGCUUUACUCUUGAAGCUUAGCGAGACCACUAACCCACCAGAAGGAAGAAACUCCGGACACGCCGCCUUUAAGAACUGUAAUACUCAGUGCGAGGGUUCACGGCUUCAUUCUUGAGAAAGACAACGAGGAGGGAGCAGCUAGAGGGGUGGAAAUGGGAUCACGUGACCUUGCGAGAAGCAGGGAGAGAGAACACUGCGUCUGCUCCCUUUUAGAACAGACCACGUUCUAGAAUUGUAGAAUCCUGGCAAGAAAAAGGCAGCUCGUCCAGCCUUCUGUCCAGUGGAACAGCCCCAGCCAGAGCAACUGACAGAUGCUCAAUAUAGGGAAUCCCUAACAGAGGACUUCCAGGAUAUCCUAGGGACAGCAGAGCCUCAAGAUCCAGGGAGGAUCCUGGAUACCUGAGUCACCACUUGGAGGGGAAUCUCCUGGAAGAACUGAUUGAUCAGCAACAUCUACAUUCAACUUGAGCCUAAAUCAGCAUCCAGCGGCCUUGAGGAAAAAGACUGAGGUUGCUACAGAGGAGAGCAGAAAGAAGAAGGGAGCUAACGUUCAGCUUUUGAUAUUCAAAAUGAGAUUUCUUGGCAAAAUAAUAGGAGAGGAAAAAAUUUUUCCAAGUUUCUUUAGCUCCUAUUUAACAGAUCAAGACUGGCUUUGAUGUGUUGCUCCAGUUCCCCUACCCUCUCCUGCCCUGCUUAGGCCUUGCCUCUUGGUUACAUAGAGGGAGCAGUUGUGGGGAGGAAGAGGCCACCUCUGCUGGUCUACAGUCAAGGUAUUAUCUGGGGCUGGGGUCUCAUCUGAAGACUCAACUGGGGAAAGAUCCACAUCUAAGCUCAUGUGAUUGUGGGGGAGGAAGGGAGGGAGAAGGAUAGAGAGGGAGGUGCUGUGCUUUCUUCCCUGAGCCUUGGGAGGUGGGAGGUCUGGAGGUGGCCUUGAGACCAGCCUGCUAGGAGGUUAUGGGACCUGAGGGGCAGGGGAAAGCUUUUGCCCAGCUACAGGUGGAGUGUGGUCACAUCUCACAUGCUCAGCCUGCUUGGGCUGAAGGAGGCCUGAACAUUUCCAUCCCCAAGCUGACCUCAGUUUAUACUUGUUAGAGUAGCUGACGGAUUGCUGAGAAGCUGGCUACUGGGGAGGACAGUCAUUGUGGUUAGUCGUCUUUUUUUUUUUAACAGGUUGGGCAAUGUUGAGGUCAUCCUGCAAAAAGCCUGGGGUCCUGCUCUCCUAACCUUCAGCACCCCUUGAGUGUGGUGGAAGAGGGCUUUGAGUCUUGAGCAGUCAGAGAAACCACGUUGUGACUUGCUGCAAGGGCAAAUGACAAAUGAUGGCCAGGCAAACCACCUAGGGACUUUGUCAGGCAAGACACAGGACUGUGGAAGUCACAGGAGGUAUGGGGCAGCUGUCCCUCCUGGCUGGAGAACACAGCCAGCUAUGCUCCUCCCCACUGACACCCAAUCCCAUGUGGCACACAUCUCAAGGUCUGCCCUCAGUCCAUUCAUCCACUCAGGCUCCAAGAGACUCAAACCCAAGUGACUGAAUUGGAUGGAGAUUAAUGCAUGGGGUUGCAAUCAAGUACUUUCCUCCUCACCCCCACUGCUUUCUCCCUGCUACUUAGCUAGUGGGAGUUUGUGUAGACAGCACAUCUCUUAUAGGCAAUAAAGUACUAGUGUGAGGGAUUUUGUGGGCUGCUCCACAAGGCCUGUGAUCCUCCUCUUACUAUCCCCACCCCGAUGUUUUUCCUUUGCUCACCAGGGCUGGCCAGGAAGGCUGCCUCUUUCAACGUCCCCAAGGCAACCACUCUAUGUCAGCAAGGACUCCUGAACCCAUGGCAACCCACCAGCUGCUGCUCUGGGAAGUGAGACCUUACCAGCUUGCUGCCUCCCCAGCAAUGCAGCUGCCCUGUUGGUCAGGACAACCUCUCAGGAGGGUAUCAGGCCCUGGUGUACAGUCCUUUCUUCUAGAAAGAGACAAACAGUGCAAUCACCACAGCCUCCCACUUCUUCUUAGACAGAUCUCACAUCGGAUUCACAGGGGCUUCCUGGGAACAUAAUUCUGUUGAGCCUUAGAAAUCAGGUAGGAUUUUGACUGAUUUGGGAGGUUGGUUAAUUUUACUUUUAUUUUGUUCUCUACAGCUGCUGUUAAGCCUGGCUUAGGGGUCCACCCUUUCCCAGCCCCCUUCCCUUUCUUUAUAACCUGGAUUUUGCACAAUCUAUAUCUCUCUAUAUCUCUGCAUCCAUCCAUCCAUCCAUCCAUCCAUCCAUCCAUCCAUCCAUCUCCCUCCCUUUGCCCAUUUGUCUCUUUCUUGAUAUAGGCUAGACUUUCCCAAAGUAAUUUCAACAAAAAGUAAAGGAAAAAAUCAAAUGAGAUGCACACCUUUCUCUCCAAGCCACAAACAGUGCAUAACAUCAUCAGGUAGUCAGGCUUCUGAAGGUUCUCUACACACGCCUGAUCUCUCCAAUAGCUAAGGCUCUCACUUUCAGUGUGGUUAGUGGUUAGGGAAAUGGACUUGAGAGCUGGACUGCCUGGGCUCAAUUCUCAGCUCUGGUACUGGUCUCAUGGCCUUGGGAAAGUGUUUUGUUGUUGUUGUUUUGUUUUUACAUUUCUCUGCCUCAGUGCUUCUUCGGUAAAAUGGGAAUAAAAAGAGUAACUGUCUCAUAAGAUGACUGUGAGAAUGAAAUCAGUGAAUUAAUAUGUACAAAGAGCUUAAACAUCACUUGGAACAUAGUAAGUGAUAUAUGAGAGUCAGUUCUUAUGACUAGUACUGGGCACAUAAGGUGGCAAGACCCCCUUAUCCCCAUUUUUAGUUCUUGGCAAGUCCCCCUUUGACUCCAGGUUGCUAAGCACAGCUAUGCAGGUUGCACACUACAUACCCCAUCUCCACAGACUCACUCACUCACUCUUCUCCUGUGCAGGGAGGAGUUAGGGUGGCGUUUCGGGCAGAUCAUUAUGGCAAAUGGAGUUUGCAGCAGGACUAACAGGGUCACCUUCAGGGUCCUGGAUGAAGUUCAUUCUUUCAGGGCCACAGAAGCGUAGAAAACUCUUUAGUCAUAAGUUGGUGGGGGUGCCAAGAGGAAAGGCACAGCAGAGAAUGCUAAGAGCCUAAGGAUGUGACUGGAGAAUCUCCUGAAGUUAUAGAUCCUGCAGGCAGGGCUGGCUUCAGGGAAGUGCAACCUGUGCAGUCGCACUGGUCCACAUGCUUGGAAGAGGCCCCUUAUUUUCACUUUGCACUGAGUCCUCAAGUUACAUGACUGGUCAGUCCUACCCCAUAAGGCAUGGAUUGCAAAGGAGAACAAAGAAUCCACGGAGGUGAUCGACUUUGAGGUGAAGCUGGGAGAGGAAGAUGAUGGUGCCAUCAACAGAAAAAGAGUCUUUCUAUUGCCUUCUUGGCUGGCAGGCUUUGAUGACUCAGGCUGCCAUACUGAAGAUGCCCACAUGGCCAGGAGCUGGGACCUUUAUUCUAACAACCCUCAAGCAGCUGAAUCCUGCCAAUAAUCAUGUGAGCUUGGAUGUGGGUCCUUCCCUACUUGAACCUUCAGAUGAGACCCCAGCCCCAGCUGAUACUUUGACUGCAGCUUUGUGAGAGACCCUGAGACAGAGGACCGAGAUGAGCCAUGCCUUGGCUGCUGGCCCACAAAAACUGUGAGAUCAAAAUGAUGUGUUGUUUUAAGCCAUUAACUGUGUGGUAACUUGUCAAACAGUGUAUUAGGCCAUUUGUGUUGCUACAAAGGAAUACCCGAGGCUGAGUAGUUUAUUAAGAAAAGAGGUUUAAUUGGCUUAUGGUUCUGCA
rnacentral:lncRNA from 1 species